GAUGUCAGACUAUGUGCAGCAAACUUUCUGAUGAAAAGAAAUCAGUUUAUAUGAAGCAGUAAAUUCAAACAUCUGUGGAUGUUCUGUCUGUAGCCAUCACCACUUCUCAGAUAAUACACUAAGACUCCUUAGGAAGGAAAGGUCUAUAGAAGGAAACAGAAAUGUGUGCUAUACAAGAUUAAUAUCAACAGAAUGGAAAGUGUACAGGAAAACAACCAACUAGAGAUAUAGAUGGCCACAGCUACAGGACGUCUUAGUCAUAGAAUGGUCGGGUAGUUCUGUACCAUCAACCCUGGAAGAGAACAUGGACUUGCAAUGUAUAGCCUGAAUUAUUUUAUUUUUAGCAUGUCACUGUUAGCUCAUUUGUAUGUGUUAAAAUAAAACUUCAGUCUUCCAUA